rnacentral:lncRNA from 1 species
GCCAAGAGAAGUUGCUCUGGGUUGAGGAGCUCAAAGAGCAGGUGAGCUGCACAGGGUUCAAGGUCCUGCCUUGAACUCAGUGCUGGGAAGAGGCUGAAAUGACCCUGCGAGAGAAGAAGGGAGGAACGAAAGGCGUCUGCAACCGGAUUCUGUGUCUGGUUGGGGAAAAGGAUCAGCAGCCAGAAGAUGACAAGGAAAAAAGGCACUUCAAGACAGGGAUGAGGGAUACAAGCUUCAAAAGCUAAAGAAACCAAAUAAAAUUCUGUUCAAAUAAGAAGUACCGAUUGCC